AUCAUUCUCUUCAUCAUCACCACAUUCAUCUCUCUCUCUCUCUCUCUCUCUCUCUCUUUCUCUUCCUUGAUCUUAGCCGGAUCUGUUGGGGGACGAACACAUGAGAGAUAGAUAAAAUAUAAGAAAUUUCUCGAAAAAACCUAAUAGAAAAAGGUCUGUUUCUUAAAGAAGAAGAAGAAGAGGAUUUAAAGAGGG
rnacentral:misc_RNA from 1 species